GGGGCUGCAGCUCAGUGAUAGAGCAUCUGUUUAGCAUGCAGAAGGUCCCAGGUUCAAUCCCUGGAAACGCCA
rnacentral:tRNA from 1 species